GAUGAACGCUGGCGGCGUGCUUAACACAUGCAAGUCGAACGGAAAGACCCCGCUUUUUUGUGACGCGUGGGUGGCGGACGGGUGAUUCACCCGUGCGUACCCUGUCCUUGGCGUUGGGUUCACUUCAGGGUACCUGGGCCCACAUCCGAUCUGUGCUUCUGCUGCGUGGUGGGGGAUGGCAAGCUUCGGUGGUUCGGGCUGGGCUCGCGGGUUUACAUCUUGUUGGUGGGGUAGUGGCUUACCAAGGCAUUGACGGGUAGCCGGCCUGAGAGGGUGACCGGCCACAUUGGGACUGAGAGAGGGCGCAGACUCCUACGGGAGGCAGCAGGGGGAAAUAUGGCACAACGGGCGGAAGCCUGAUGCGGCAACGCCGCGUGCGGGAUGACGGCCUUCGGGGUGUAAACCGCUUUCGCCUGUGACGAAGCGUGAGUGACGGUAAUGGGUAAAGAAGCACCGGCUAACUACGUG
rnacentral:rRNA from 1 species